rnacentral:misc_RNA from 1 species
AAAAGGGUCUGCCUCAAAAUUUUAGGGUCUACAGAGAGGGAGAGAGAGCAAAAGAUGGGAUCAAAAAGAGAAGACUAAUUCUCAUCCUUAGCACCUCGAUCCCACCUGAAAUCCCUUGGUAAGAGAGGCAGCCAAUGAGAAGGCGGAGAUUAGGAUGAUCAUUACAAACCCAACCAAUUAAAAACCAGAUAAGGCACUGUUGUGGUCCCCAAAGUGCAGUACCUUUCUCUGGUGGAAAACUCUGAAAUCUCAAAAGUGCAUCCAAAGAAAAGAGAGAAAGACCCAUCUAGACUGCAAAAGCGCGGUUUGUGGGUCACACCUUCUAUAAACACUGCUCCUACUCUUAUCAUUGUGCCAUUCUUGUCUUCAGGUCGGAAAGGACUGAAGAAACAGUGAAACACAAACCCCCACCCCCACCUCUCAAGGACCCAAUAAUUUAUGUCAAUCAAGGUGCUUGCUUCAUCUUUUCUUUGCCUUGAUUUUUCGUUUUCGCUUCCUGUUUUGGGCCUUUUGGCUUCCGAUUGAUCUCUUUUCUUCAAUCAAACCAUAUCCCGGCCUCAAUGAUUUCAAAAAAAAAUGUGGCCAACGCCGUUGGGGGCAAAACGGCUAGAGCCUGUGACAGUUGUAUAAGAAAGCGGGCUAGAUGGUACUGUGCAGCCGAUGAUGCAUUUCUUUGCCAAGUUUGUGAUUCCUCAGUGCACUCCGCUAACCAUUUAGCUCACAGACACAAAAGGGUUCGUUUAAAGACUGCUUCUCUUAAAUCUUUGGACCUUGUUCCCAAGGAGAAUUGUGCGCCAUCAUGGCACCGAGGGUUCACAAGAAAGGCCAGGACACCGCGACAUGGAAAGCCUGUGUCUCAUUCAAAAAUCGAAAAAAAAUUAAGGAAUCCUAUUCCUCUUGUUCCUGAAGUGGGUUCAGACGAGAUAUCUCAUGGAGAGAACGAAGAGGAGCAGCUACUGUACAGGGUUCCAGUCUUCGACCCAUUUGUUGCUCAGCUAUGCAAUUCAGCAACCAUCUCAAAUAAUGAAGCAGAAACGACUACUGCUGCUGAUAAUGAUUCUGAUCAGACAGUUGCUGACGCUAACGGAAUCGAAUCGAAGGCUUCGUUAGGUGCCGGAGGAAAGGAAUUUGAGAGUCUACAUGGUUUUCUCCCAUCCGAUAUGGAUCUUGCAGAGUUUGCGGCGGAUGUGGAGAGCUUGCUCGGUAGGGGUCUUGAAAAUGAGUCUGUUGGGAUGGAAGAACUGGGGAUUGUGGGUUGUAAAGAACAGAAGGAGUUGCAGAGAGAAUAUUAUGUAGGAAGGGGAAUGGUGAAGCUUGAAGACGAACGGGAAGGGAUAGAAAAGGAAGAAGAAGCUGUAAGGGACUGCUAUGUCGAUACUGAUGAGACUGAAAUGGCAAGAGAACCGCCUUUUGAGUUGACCUUUGACUACGAUUCUGCAACAUGUGGAGAGGAAGAUGAAAAGGUAGGGACUGGAGAGAGAGACUUAAAGAACAAUGAAGAAUACGAAGAUGAUGGUGAAAACUUGAAGAAGAAAAAGAAGAAGAGAAAGAUACUACUAAAGUUAGAUUAUGAGGCAGUUAUAACAGCUUGGGCAAGCCAAGGGUCUCCUUGGACCACAGGCAACCGGCCAGACAUCGACCCCGACGAAUGUUGGCCGGAGUACUGCAUGGGUAUUUGUGGAGCUGAACUUCACCACCAUGGUUAUGGAGAUCAUACAACCGGUGUAGGGGUACAGCACCCUACAAUGGCAGACGGAGGUAGAGAAGCAAGAGUGUCGAGGUACAGAGAGAAGCGGAGAACAAGGUUGUUCUCCAAGAAAAUAAGAUACGAGGUGAGGAAAUUGAAUGCGGAGAAAAGGCCCAGAAUGAAAGGUAGAUUUGUGAAGAAGGCAAGUUUUGCAGGUCCUUGAUAUGCCAAACGAGUACUUCUCAUUAUAAAUUUGCCUGUACAGAGUAGAAAAAUUGGACUGGAAUUAAUGUAUUAGUGAGGUCUGUGAAAUAAGCAAAUAAAUAAAAAAAUUUUCAUCUCUUCCUGCUCUCCUUUUCACUUCAAGGAACUUAAUUAUAUAUAUAUGGAGGCCAUAGUGCAGCAUCAUGAAAUCAGAGAUUAGCAUCAUGGAAUCAGAGAUUACACGCAGGGCAGGAACGGAGGCAAUUAUCCCCCAUUAAAGUUGUUCGUUUAGUAGCAACAAGCUUUGGGAGUUGUAUUGAAGUGGUUUAGUAUAUGUGAGGUACCAAUUUCAAAUUUACCCCUCAAAUUUCUCAAAAAAAUAAUUGCUUUUAGUUUUGUAAUAUUUUAAAUUACAAAAAAUUAUAUAAUAUUAUCUGUUUUAUCUUGAAA